UGGCGAACGGGUGAGUAACACGUGAGUAACCUGCCCCAGACUCUGGGAUAACCCCGGGAAACCGGAGCUAAUACCGGAUACGACACGAAGAGGCAUCUCUAUCGUGUGGAAAGCUUUUCGGUCUGGGAUGGACUCGCGGCCUAUCAGCUAGUUGGUGAGGUAACGGCCCACCAAGGCGACGACGGGUAGCUGGUCUGAGAGGACGAUCAGCCGGAUUGGGACUGAGAUACGGCCCAG
rnacentral:rRNA from 1 species